rnacentral:rRNA from 1 species
UGUGCCAGCCGCCGCGGUAAUACGGAGGAUGCAAGCGUUAUCCGGAUUUAUUGGGUUUAAAGGGUGCGUAGGCGGGACUGUAAGUCAGGGGUGAAAUACUGCAGCUUAACUGUAGCAUUGCCUUUGAAACUGCCGUUCUUGAGUACAGUUGAGGUAGGCGGAAUGUGGUGUGUAGCGGUGAAAUGCAUAGAUAUACCACAGAACGCCGAUUGCGAAGGCAGCUUACUAAGCUGUUACUGACGCUGAGGCACGAAAGCGUGGGGAUCAAACAGGAUUAGAUACCCUGGUAGUCCACGCUGUAAACGAUGAUUACUGGUUGUUAGCGAUAUAUAGCUAGUGACUGAGCGAAAGCAUUAAGUAAUCCACCUGGGGAGUACGUCGGCAACGAUGAAACUCAAAGGAAUUGACGGGGGCCCGCACAAGCGGAGGAGCAUGUGGUUUAAUUCGAUGAUACGCGAGGAACCUUACCUGGGUUUAAAUGGGGAGUGACAGGUGUCGAAAGAUGCUUUUCCUUCGGGACACUCUUCAAGGUGCUGCAUGGUUGUCGUCAGCUCGUGCCGUGAGGUGUCGGGUUAAGUCCCAUAACGAGCGCAACCCUUGCCGAUAGUUGCCAUCACGUAAAGGUGGGCACUCUAUCGGGACUGCCGGUGUAAACCGUGAGGAAGGUGGGGAUGACGUCAAAUCAGCACGGCCCUUACAUCCAGGGCUACACACGUGUUACAAUGGCCAGUACAGAGGGCCGCUACCCCGCGAGGGGAUGCCAAUCUCGAAAGCUGGUCUCAGUUCGGAUUGAAGUCUGGAACCCGACUUCAUGAAGCCGGAUUCGCUAGUAAUCGCGCAUCAGCCACGGCGCGGUGAAUACGUUCCCGGGCCUUGUACACACCGCCCGUCAAGCCAUGGGAGCCGGGGGUACCUGAAGUAUGUAACCGCAAGGAGCGUACUAGGGUAAAACUGGUGACUGGGGCUAAGUCGUAACAAGGUAACCA